rnacentral:lncRNA from 1 species
UACAGUAGAAUGAUUGCAGUAUCAACUAGAAAUCCUUAACGACAUGUGUGUAGAGUCAGACAUGGCCUAAUUAGUUUUAUGAACCCUAAACUCUCAUUAUUUACUUCUACCCGCCGUACCACACAUCUAACCUCAUGCUAUGAUCACUUCGAUGACCCAUUCAACAAAGCCAGUAUUUGAGCAAAGUUUAGUGUAAUGUAAAACAAGCAAUUCCCUCUUAACUAUUUCAUUCCUUAAAAAAACCAAAGUUUUAUUGCUAGUUGCUUGUUUGUCCAACUCCUUUCCCUAUAUA